GGCUGGUCCGAUUGUAGUGGGUUACCAGACUUAGUAACAUUAAUAUCACUAAAGUUAGUAUACAGCCCCCCCACUGCUAAAUUAGACUGGCUGUAA
rnacentral:Y_RNA from 1 species